rnacentral:rRNA from 1 species
UACGUAGGGGGGCAAGCGUUGUCCGGAUUUAUUGGGCGUAAAGAGCGUGUAGGCGGCUUUACAGGUCCGUUGUGAAAACUCGAGGCUCAACCUCGAGACGCCGGUGGAAACCGUAAGGCUAGAGUCCGGAAGAGGAGAGUGGAAUUCCUAGUGUAGAGGUGAAAUUCGUAGAUAUUAGGAAGAACACCAGUGGCGAAGGCGGCUCACUGGUCCGGUACUGACGCUGAGGUGCGAAAGCGUGGGGAGCAAACAGG